AGUGGCGGACGGGUGAGUAACACGUAAGAAUUUGCCUUUAGGAGGGGGACAACAACUAGAAAUGGUUGCUAAUACCCCAUAUGCUUUCGAGUGAAAUGGAUUUUUCCGCCUAGAGAGAAGCUUGCGGCUGAUUAGCUUGUUGGUGAGGUAAUGGCUCACCAAGGCGACGAUCAGUAUCUGGUUUGAGAGGACGAUCAGGCACACUGGAACUGAGACACGGUCCAGACUCCUACGGGAGGCAGCAGUGGGGAAUUUUCCGCAAUGGGCGAAAGCCUGACGGAGCAAUACCGCGUGAGGGAUGACGGCCUAUGGGUUGUAAACCUCUUUUUUCAGGGAGGAAUCAAUGACGUGUACCUGAAGAAUAAGCAUCGGCUAACUCCGUGCCAGCAGCCGCGGUAAGACGGAGGAUGCAAGUGUUAUCCGGAAUCACUGGGCGUAAAGCGUCUGUAGGUGGUCCAAUAAGUCAACUGUUAAAUCUUGAGGCUCAACCUCAAAAUCGCAGUCGAAACUAUUAGACUAGAGUAUAGUAGGGGUAAAGGGAAUUUCCAGUGGAGCGGUGAAAUGCGUAGAGAUUGGAAAGAACACCGAUGGCGAAGGCACUUUACUGGGCUAUUACUAACACUCAGAGACGAAAGCUAGGGUAGCAAAUGGGAUUAGAUACCCCAGUAGUCCUAGCCGUAAACAAUGGAUACUAGAUGUU
rnacentral:rRNA from 1 species